rnacentral:rRNA from 1 species
GACGAACGCUGGCGGUGCGCUUAACACAUGCAAGUCGAGCGAAGCGGCGGACGGGUGAGUAACACGUAGUAACCUGCCUUAGACAUUGGGAUCGCCUCGGGAAACCGGGAUUAAUACCAAAUGGUCUAAGAUGGACUCGCGUCCCAUUAGCUAGUUGGUGGGGUAAAGGCCUACCAAGGCGACGAACCGUAACUGGACUGAAGAGUGUAUCAGGCACACUGGAACUGUGACACGGUCAAGACUCCUACGUGAGGCAUCAGUGGUGAAUCUUGGACAAGGGGCGAAAGCCUGAUCCAACCAUGCCGCGUGUGUGAAGAAGGUCUUCGGAUUGUAAAGCACUUUAAGGUGGGAGGCGUUACCAACAGAAUAAGCACCGGCUAACUUCGUGGCAGCAGCCGCGGUAAUAC